rnacentral:rRNA from 1 species
AGCGAACGCUGGCGGCAGGCUUAACACAUGCAAGUCGAGCGCCCCGCAAGGGGAGCGGCAGACGGGUGAGUAACACGUGGGAACGUGCCUUUUGGUUCGGAACAACGCAGGGAAACUUGGGCUAAUACCGGAUAAGCCCUUACGGGGAAAGAUUUAUCGCCAAAAGAUCGGCCCGCGUCUGAUUAGCUAGUUGGUGGGGUAAUGGCCCACCAAGGCUACGAUCAGUAGCUGGUCUGAGAGGAUGAUCAGCCACAUUGGGACUGAGACACGGCCCAAACUCCUACGGGAGGCAGCAGUGGGGAAUCUUGGACAAUAGGCGCAAGCCUGAUCCAGCCAUGCCGCGUGAGUGAUGAAGGCCUUAGGGUUGUAAAGCUCUUUCAGUGGGGAAGAUAAUGACGGUACCCACAGAAGAAGCCCCGGCUAACUUCGUGCCAGCCGCCGCGGUAA